rnacentral:rRNA from 1 species
UACGGAGGAUGCGAGCGUUAUCCGGAUUUAUUGGGUUUAAAGGGUGCGUAGGCGGCUUUUUAAGUCAGCGGUGAAAUUUUGUCAGCUUAACUGUAACAGUGCCGUUGAUAAUGGGGAGGCUAGGAUUUGGUUGCUGUGGGUGGAAUGUGUGGUGUAGCGGUGAAAUGCUUAGAGAUCACACAGAAUAUCGAUUGCGAAGGCAGCUCACAAAGCCAAGAUUGACGCUGAGGCACGAAAGUGUGGGGAGUCAAACAGGAUUA